CUACAUACACUUUAAAGUUUAGCUUAGUUUAAUAUAUGUAUAGCUUAAACCUCCUGUGGUAUGAAUGAAGAGGUGCUCAGCUCUUGGAAGUGAUGAAGUAGAGAGAGAAAGUCUUCAAGAUGAUGAAGUUUUUUUUUUUUUGGGAACAAUGCACUCAUUAUACAGAGAACCUUGUCACCCUCAAGGGAGGGAAGAAAUACUCGUGAAGAGCAGAACGGUUCGUUUUCAAUGGUUGAAACUUGAAACUCUUUUUACUGGUUUACUUACAUAGCUCUGCUUCUUCUGUUUGUGGUUACGUAAGAAAUGGAAGAAUUUUAUUCAUUUUGCCCCAUCUGUUCCCUACUACUCCAGGUCUCGGACUGCUUUUACAUCACAAUAAUUUAAGUCCUCAUUUGGUCUAUAAGUCAAAUUGUUUUAGGAGGCUAGACUCUUAGGUAUGGUUGAAUAUAUCAGUUGGGGAAUUUAUAGUAACUAUAAUUUCAACUUUUAGCAGCACUGGCCGGCUAGAUGUCAGAC
rnacentral:lncRNA from 1 species